rnacentral:rRNA from 1 species
UACAGAGGGGGCAAGCGUUGUUCGGAAUUACUGGGUGUAAAGGGCGCGUAGGCGGCCUGCUAAGUCGAACGUGAAAUCCCCGGGCUCAACCCGGGAACUGCGUCCGAUACUGGCAGGCUUGAAUCCGGGAGAGGGAUGUGGAAUUCCAGGUGUAGCGGUGAAAUGCGUAGAUAUCUGGAGGAACACCGGUGGCGAAGGCGGCAUCCUGGACCGGUAUUGACGCUGAUGCGCGAAAGCCAGGGGAGCAAACGGG